AGCGAACGCUGGCGGCAGGCCUAACACAUGCAAGUCGAACGAACUCUUCGGAGUUAGUGGCGGACGGGUGAGUAACACGUGGGAACGUGCCUUUAGGUUCGGAACAACUCAGGGAAACUUGUGCUAAUACCGAAUGUGCCCUUCGGGGGAAAGAUUUAUCGCCUUUGGAGCGGCCCGCGUCUGAUUAGCUAGUUGGUGAGGUAAAGGCUCACCAAGGCGACGAUCAGUAGCUGGUCUGAGAGGAUGAUCAGCCACAUUGGGACUGAGACACGGCCCAAACUCCUACGGGAGGCAGCAGUGGGGAAUCUUGCGCAAUGGGCGAAAGCCUGACGCAGCCAUGCCGCGUGAAUGAUGAAGGUCUUAGGAUUGUAAAAUUCUUUCACCGGGGACGAUAAUGACGGUACCCGGAGAAGAAGCCCCGGCUAACUUCGUGCCAGCCGCCGCCGUAA
rnacentral:rRNA from 1 species